rnacentral:rRNA from 1 species
CGCCCAUGAUGAGCCCGGUGAUGCUAACCACCCAAAGCACCUCGUAUCAAUGCCUUCGGGCUGCGAGCUUGGUGUGGAGCGUGGGACCCGACCCGGUAGUAGUCAAGCGAU